AGGGAAUCUUCCACAAUGGACGCAAGUCUGAUGGAGCAACGCCGCGUGAGUGAAGAAGGUUUUCGGACCGUAAAGCUCUGUUGUUGGUGAAGAAGGAUAGAGGUAGUAACUGGCCUUUAUUUGACGGUAAUCAACCAGAAAGUCACGGCUAACUACGUGCCAGCAGCCGCGGUUAAAUCGUAGGUGGCAAGCGUUGUCCGGAUUUAUUGGGCGUAAAGCGAGCGCAGGCGGAAGAAUAAGUCUGAUGUGAAAGCCCUCGGCUUAAC
rnacentral:rRNA from 1 species